UUUUAGCCCAGAUAGAAAUGAAAAGCCCACGAUUUAAAAAAUGUAGUUUUUGUAAGCUUAAAAAAGCGACUGAAAGAAGCUCUUUUUAAGGUGUACUAAAAACACAUUUUUUAAAUGUGGACUUGUAGUGUAUAGCUGGAUUAGCU
rnacentral:sRNA from 1 species